rnacentral:miRNA from 1 species
GGCUUGGGGCGAUACCACCACU